CACCGCGGUUAUACGGGAGGCCCAAGUUGUUAGAAGUCGGCGUAAAGGGUGGUUAGGAAUAAACUUUAAAUUAAAGCCGAACACCCUCCGAGCUGUUAUACGUAUCCGAAGGUAAGAAGCCCAAUUACGAAAGUAGCUUUAUAUUCUCUGAAUCCACGAAAGCUAAGACA
rnacentral:rRNA from 1 species